AAGUUUAACGGAACAUUUGGGCUUUGGCCCAAAAUAAUGGUGAUGGAGAAGAAAAUCGUUUAUACCCCGAAGUGGAGACUGGAGAUGGCAGAUCGGAAAGACACCCAGAAGAAAAGAAUGGCUGUCUUUGCCAUGAGUUCUCCCUCUCCAGUCCUGCCUUCAUUUUGUGUUUCGUUACCUUCAUCAACUAAGGCUUUUGCUACUUUUCCAGUUUCCAGGUUGCACUUGAAAUCCAUCUAUGUGCUCUCGAAAUCCUUCGGUGGAAUUUCCUUUGCGACAGUGAGAAGUGGUACGAUUACUGUUAAGGCAUCAAUGGAUAUUAGGGGGACAGGUCCGGACGCUGGGGAGUCUGUGUCAGAAAGUGAUGAUGAAGAGAAUUUGCUGUUUGAGAAACUUCCUCUUGAUGCAAAGCUACAACAGAAGCUCGAGCAGAAGUUUAGGAUGAAAUUGGCAAAGAAGAUAAGGCUUCGGAGAAAGAAACUUGUUCGUAAGCGGAGGAUGAGGAAAAAGGGACAAUGGCCUCCUUCAAAGGCAAAAAAAGUGAAGAAUGUCUGAUUUCGUGUCCUCUUGUAGGGUUUCCCUGGAUAAUUCGAGACGAAGUGCUUGGAUGUGUUCUGAUGUGAGGCUGUCUUGUGUUGGUUUGGUAUCAGACGUUCAAGAUCCUUGAAUAACUAGUGAGAAAGAAAGCUGAGAGAAGAGGAAUCAGAGUUCUGAUUGCGCGAACCGCUGCUUGGAUCUCCAAUUUUUUUAGCAAUCUGAGAGUUUGUUACUGCAAAAUGAAGAAUAGAGGAGUCUGUUUCAAUAAUGAAAAAGGAAGCAUUCAUGGAUCGUGCCAACUUUAAGGCUCAAGGCAUUGGCUUCGCCUGGAUUUUUCAUUAUUCGUAGACGUCUUUUCAAUUAAUAUAAAUGGGCGGAUGAAUCAGAUACACCCUUAUUUUAAUUUUUCUACCUUUUUAAUAAGAUUUAGUAAUUUUCUACCAUAAAUGAAAGAACGUUUGUUAUGAAUAAAA